GACCUGCACGGCUAGUAUGGCCAUAAUAAGACAACAUGUGAAGUGACUGAUUAAAUUGAGUCACUUUUUGAUAUCAGUCUUAAAUGUUAGCAUAGGGUGUACAUGGGACUCAUUUUAGUUGUGUGAUUGGAUAUAAGCCACAGUGACACUGAAACUUUUCUGCUCUGUGGAAAUAUGUAUUUCAUUCGUUCUUUUUUUUGAAAAUCCCUCAUUUGUGGCUCUUGUUUGUAUUGUCUAUGGUUUAUUGACAAUUUAAAUGUCACCAAACGUCAAAUUUGAAGAAAAUUUUCGCUGUUUGGUGCGUUCGAGUGAAAUAUUUUGGUAAAAUUACCAUUGCAUUUUUGCAUUGCGCUACCCCAUGGACUCAUAUUGGCUCAUUAACUACUUUCUUGAGUUUCUUGGACAUCGUCACAUGAAAUAAUAUACGACCGAGCUUGCUCCCGACCAAGCACGAUCAGAUUCCUUGGGAGUUCUUCGGCAGACGAUUUCUAUGCACCGGCUCCAUGAGACGAAGAACAAAACAGCAUGCCACCUGACUGAUGACCCACCCACCGUUUACACGGCCCCAGGAGCUAGAAGGCCUUGAGACAAAAGCUCGGGCAGGAUCCUGACGGACGCAACAGAAUAUCAUCUACGAUGCUUGUCCCACGGCCUGACUGAAUAAUAUUUAUAUAAUCAAUGGAAGGAAAAAACAGUAGAACAUUGAAAUUGGCUCGUAGGCAAGACGGAAGAUGGUCAAAACCGGUCAGAAAAUGAUGGCCUAGACACGGUUGGAGAGCUCUUGUUGGCAGAAACCACCUGAAGAUGGUCAUUUGACAUCAGCAACUUUGUGGUGAUACAAUGAACCGGAGCGGCACCAAACUGAAAAAGUUGAAAAACUUGGCAUACAUACUAUGAGUAUGAGACCUAUUUGAUGACUGAUAUAAGCCAAGUUCAGACUGAUUAUUGUGAUAGUUGAUAACUAAGAAUACCUAAUAUGCUUUUAUGGUGUGUGAAAUAGUAUACUUUUUAUAAUUUAUUAAUUAAAAGUUUAAUAAAUGUUUUACUUACCUAAAGAAAA